UAUCAUUGGUAAAAAAUGUUC
rnacentral:piRNA from 1 species